rnacentral:rRNA from 1 species
AGAGUUUGAUCAUGGCUCAGAAUCAACGCUGGCGGCGUGCCUAACACAUGCAAGUCGAACGCGAAAGCCCCGCAAGGGGCAAGUAGAGUGGCAAACGGGUGAGUAACACGUGGGUGACCUGCCUUCGAGUGGGGGAUAACGUCCCGAAAGGGACGCUAAUACCGCAUGACAUCCUGCCUUUGAACAGGCGGAGAUCAAAGCUGGGGAUCGCAAGACCUGGCGCUCAAAGAGGGGCCCGCGCCUGAUUAGCUAGUUGGUGGGGUAAUGGCUCACCAAGGCAACGAUCAGUAUCCGGCCUGAGAGGGCGGACGGACACACUGGGACUGAGACACGGCCCAGACUCCUACGGGAGGCAGCAGUGGGGAAUUGUUCGCAAUGGGCGCAAGCCUGACGACGCAACGCCGCGUGGAGGAUGAAGACCUUCGGGUCGUAAACUCCUUUCGAUCGAGACGAAUGGCUCCCGGGUGAACAGCCCGGGGGAAUGACGGUACCGAGAGAAGAAGCCCCGGCUAACUCCGUGCCAGCCGCCGCGGUAAUAC